UUGGACCCUGUUGAUGGCUCGAUACCGAACCCAGAACAUGUGCCUGAUCAUGUUGUUGGGAGCUCGAAUCUGAAGCCUCUAUCCUGCAAAGAGGAGCAAGUGAUGUGGAUAUUUUACGAGCAAAAGAUUCAAGAAGUGUGCAGAGCAUUCAUAUUCCCCCACAAAAUUCAGUUGAAUAUGGCAUCCUCUCAACGUAAUGGGAUCCGGACACCAUUUCAGGACCUAACGAACACUAGAAAUUCUGCCAAUUGGAACAACAAGCAAUGCAUCAGCUAAU